rnacentral:rRNA from 1 species
CCACGAUGAAGAACGUAGCGAAAUGCGAUACUUGGUGUGAAUUGCAGAAUCCCGUGAACCAUCAAGUUUUUGAACGCAAGUUGCGCCCGAGGCCACCAGGCCAAGGGCACGCCUGCCUGGGCGUCACGCUUUGCGUCGCUCCCCCACCUCCUUGCCCAUACGGGCUU